AUGCCGCUGGACAACGACGAUCUCCUCCGUGAGAUCCUCCUCCUCCUGCCUCCGGAGCCGUCCUCCCUGCUCCGGGCCUCCGUUGUGUGCAAGCGCUGGCGCCGCUUAGUCUCCGAUCGCGGCUUCCUCCGGCGCUUCCGCGCGCACCACGGGAAGCCCCCGGUCCUCGGCUUCUUCUGCGUCAAUGCUGGUACCGGUUAUUACUUCAGUCCCACGCUGGAUCCGCCCGACCGCAUCCCUGCCGCGCGAUUCUCCCUGCCGCAGCGCCACAGGGAGAGCUUAGACUUCGUGGAGUGCCGCCACGGCCUCGUCCUUUUCCUCGACAAGAAACUGUCCGAGGCCGUCGUGUGGAACCCCAUCUCCGGUCGCCAGCGCCGAGUGGCCAUUCCACCAGAGUUUGGCAACCCUGAAAAGUGGGGCAUCAUAUACGCUGUGGUGCUCUGCGCAGCCGGCGAUGACGACCAUGGCCAUGGGCAUGGUGACUGCGACCUGGACUAUUUUAAAUUGGUCGUGGUGCGCAUGGGCGUAAAAGACUACAGGCAUGUAUCGGCUUGCCUCUACGAAUCCAAGUCUGGUGUGUGGGGAAAUGUUGUCUCAACAACGACCACAGGAGCGUUCAUUUUUCCGGCAAAACCCAGCGUCCUUGUCGGGAAUGCACUUUGCUGGUUGCUUAAUAGAAAAACUGAAGGUGACAUCCUUGAGUUUGAUUUUGAAGUACAGAAGCUUGUUGUAACUGAGAGGCCACUGGACUGCGAGAUUGCCAACCGUGGCCUUCCCUUCCUCCGAAUCAUGCGGACUGCGGUUAUGGGAGCGGAAGGUCAAUUAUGA
rnacentral:rRNA from 1 species